GAUGAACGCUGGCGGCGUGCCUAAUACAUGCAAGUCGAGCGGACGGACGAGAAGCUUGCUUCUCUGAUGUUAGCGGCGGACGGGUGAGUAACACGUGGAUAACCUACCUAUAAGACUGGUAUAACUUCGGGAAACCGUAGCUAAUACCGGAUAAUAUCUUGAACCGCAUGGUGCAAAAGUGAAAGACGGUCUUGCUGUCACUUAUAGAUGGAUCCGCGCUGCAUUAGCUAGUUGGUAAGGUAACGGCUUACCAAGGCAACGAUGCGUAGCCGACCGGAGGGGCUGAUAGCCCACACGGGAGCGGAGCCGCCGUCCAUGGGACUACGAGACGCAGCAGUAGGGUACGGGACGCAGUAGGCGAAAGCAUGACGGAGCAGGGCGGAGUGAGAUAUGAAGGUGUCCGGAGCGUGAUACCGUGUUACGAGGGAAGAACAGAUGUCUCAGUAACCGAGGACUUCGUGACGGUAAUUAGUCAGAAAGCACCGGCUAACUACGUG
rnacentral:rRNA from 1 species